rnacentral:rRNA from 1 species
GACAGAGGCCUCAAGCGUUAGGCGGAAUCACUGGGCUUAAAGCGUGUGUAGGCGGGUCGUUAAGUACCUUGUGAAAUCCCACGGCUCACCCGUGGAACUGCUGGGUAUACUGGCGAUCUUGGGCCAUUUAGGGGCAACUGGAACAAGCGGUGGAGCGGUGAAAUGCGCAGAUAUCAGGAGGAACACCGAUGGCGAAGGCAGGUCUCUGGGCCACUACUGACGCUGAGAAGCGAAAGCAUGGGGAGCGAACAGG